rnacentral:rRNA from 1 species
GACGAACGCUGGCGGCGUGCCUAAUACAUGCAAGUCGAACGCAGUGGGGACGGGUGAGUAACACGUGGGUAACCUCCCAUCAGAGGGGAUAACACUUGGAAACAGGUGCUAAACCGAUCUUGAUGGAUGGACCCGCGGUGCAUUAGCUCGUUGGUGAGGUAACGGCUCACCAAGGCCACGAUGCAUAGCCGACCUGAGAGGGUGGUCGGAGACAAUGGAACUGAGAUACGGCCGAGACUCCUACGGGAGGCAGCAGUAGGGAAUCUUCGGCAAUGGACGAAAGUGUGAUCGAGCAAAGCCGGGUGAGUGAAGAAGGUUUUCGGAUCGUAAAACUCUGUUGUUAGAGAAGCGGUAUCUAACCAGAAAGCCACGGCUAACUACGUGCCAGCAGCCGCGGUAAUAC